rnacentral:tRNA from 1 species
AAGGCUUUAAGUUAAAAAUAAACUAAUAGCCUUCAAAGCUAUAAAUAUAAGAAAUUCUUUUAAGCCUUA